rnacentral:rRNA from 1 species
UGCCACAGCCAUAUCACCCUGCAGCCCAAGACUGGUUGCCCACUGAAGCUAAGCAGGGUUGAGUCCUGCAAACUGGUGGUUGUUGUGGUUG